ACCACGCGCAGGAUGCGAGGCAUAACGCCCAUGUAGAGCCCACGGACGCCUUGCUUGCGGUAGAUCUCUGCGAGGCGUGAGAAGACCGACGAGAACAUCCUGGCCCAGCUCAAUCUGCGUGUGCGUCGUGAUCAAAUCGAACGGCAUCGUCACGAAGGUAGCCAGCUGGAAAGGACAGGAAAGGACACAAUCAAGCAACGUGGGCUAAAAUUCUCACACCACCACCCACCGCUCCGGACACUGCACCCGAAAAAAAGCUGAACCAAAACGUAGGCUCAGUCACGGCAAAGCUCCGUUUUAUUGACUCAUACGUCGCCCAGUACGUUCCAGAAAAGGGCGCGUCCCGCAUUACUGUGGGCGGCCAACCGCGCCAGAGGCCCAGCACGCCGUGCUGUCGCACCAGGGUGCGCAUCACUCGCCACAGCUCCUCGUAUGUUAUGUAGCCCGAUUGCAUCUUGAUGCGGACCAUCUCAAUUGGCGUGAUUGCCGUUACGACUAUGGUGCGCGAGCAAAUGCCGGAGGCCAUUGGAACAAAAUACGGCACCGCCAAAGGUGCAUGUGCCAAAUCAAAUGACCCCUUAUGGCCUGUCUCCACUGUUUGACUGCUUUGACGGGAGUUCGUGUAGAGUUUGGAGAACGAGCUGUUCAGGUACUCGUAGGUGAGGAAGUAGAUAAUUGUGGAAGGCAGGGCCGAUAUGAGUGUGGGACUCAGGCCAGACCAGAGGCCGGCAAUUCCGCUGCCGCACACUAUUUUAAGUAGCGCAUCCUGUGGCAUAUCAGAAUUAGAUACCAGAGAGCAAUCAUGCCAUGCAAUCACCAUUUUCUGUCGCACUUACCAUGGCCCCGCGUAGCGGACGCAUGUUGUUGAUGUCCCUUCCGGGUUUUGGCACGCAUUCGGUGUUCCGUUUGCAGACAUGCGUCAUCAGGCCAUUGUGGAAAACGUAGCACAUCUUGGAGAUAGUCGGCUUAUGGCGCAUCGCAUGCUGGGUCUGGACCCGAGUCUUUACCACCUCCAAGGGCGUCACUGGAGGUUAGCGUGCACGAACGUAAGAUGUAAUAUCAUAGCCACUACGCGAGCUUUGCAUAUUCAAGACAAGACCUCUACUCACCCACAAUUGUCGUAAUGAGUCCGCCGAUGAGUGCGGAUAUAACAUAUUCCAUGGGUUUGAUCUGGUAUCGCGGCUCCUGAUUUGGAAUCUGUGCCGGUAGAUGCACCGGAACUUCCUCCACCUCCAUUCCCCCCAUGCGCGUAUCCCCUUUCCCCAUCUUUCACUCGAUCUGUAAAUUUUGUUGGUCGGGACUUUUCCCCAACUUUAUAUCUCAGGCCGUACGACAGCCGUCACCCAUUCAAUCGCUUCAUAUAACUGAGAGACUAAGCUCUUAUUUG